rnacentral:sRNA from 2 species
GCAGUAGUAAAUCCUACUGUCGGGAUUGGAACCCCGAUAACCAUUACAGCGACACAGACGCGCUUGCGUCUUUUUU